GAUCAGAUGAUAAAACCAAAUUGCAGUGGAGAUGGAUGGAAGACGUGGGAAUGGCUCAACAUCAUGAUGGAGAGUUGCAUGUUGGUCACAUGGAGGCAAAUGGAUUUUUAAUAAGGAAAAAUAAUUACCAGUGAGUGAAGUAUCUGACUUUCCUGAAGAGUUAAGCCACCUGAGACCAGAAUGAGCAACAGCUGGCAAACAUUUUAAUCAAGGGAAGACAGCCACUCUGCCCUCCAAAGAAGGAACUCUUUAAUCAAGCCCUAUUGCCUUGUUUAUCAGGGGAAAUAAGAAACGAUUUGGCCACUGAGAGUAACUGCAGCAGCUUCGGAGAAGGCCAGCCAUGUGUGAAGAGACUGGCGCACCUGAGAAGCGAGGCAGAAGCCUGGGAACGUUUUAGGACCAGAUGCCACCCAAACCAUAGGACAGUGUCUCAUCGUUUUGUUCAGUCUGGUGUCGGACUCCUGGGCUCAUCAGAUCCUGCUGCUUUGCCCUCCUAAAGUGCUGGGAUUACAGACACCGUGCGAAGUGCAUUUUCCAGACCUUUCAUUGUUGUUGGGGAACUUCAGAACGUCAGCGUGCAUAAAAGUGUGGAUUUGACUGGAGAAGAAUUGUUCCUCUGUGAUCCUUGCCCACCCAGCACCCAGCUCUUCUUUCCUUGGAACAGCGCUGCCACGUCUCUUUCUCAAACCUUCCUCACUCGCUGAGGAGCAUCUUGGUGAGACUGUUAACCUGGUAUGGCAUAUGACUCAAACAUGGACAAUUGCACCUAUUUCCUUGGGACUUUCAGUCUUGAGGGGAGAAUGCUAGAUUGCAAAACAUCAUACUAAAAAAAAAAACUAAAAAAUUGUAGAGAAUGCAGAAAAGAAUGGAUGCAGAGGGUUCUGUUAUUGGAAUGAACUCUGACAGAGUGUCAACUAUUUUCUACCACCCAACACGCUGCAUAGUUCCCAUGCUAAAUUUAACCUGCUCAGCUGAUCCUUUAGUUAACGUUAAGUAGAAGAAGAACUUGUUGGAAGGAUAGUGAGUUGCCCAGAGCCCGUUUUCUUUGUUUGUAAUCAGACAACCUUGACGGAUACCGCCCUUAAAGAAGCACAGUUGUAGUGGCUGGAAGUGUAGGGUGUGCUUUACUAUUUAACAACGAAAGCUGAAACCUUGCAGGCUCUGCGCCUAAGAUCCCAUUGAGUCAGAGAAAAGUUCUGCAGCAAACCUCCUGAGAUAACUCCCCGGAACAGGAAGAUAACUUCGAAGCUUAGUUUAUUUCCAUACAAAUUGAAUUUUAAGUUCUUAUCAGGGUAACAGAAACAAAAAAUCAUGUCAUACAGACACAUUUGGGGUAGCCUGGUUAAUUCCUUCUUCUUUUGAAACAGCUACAUUAUCAAGAUGAUGCUUCACUGCCUGUUAGACUCGCUUCUGCUUGGAAGCAGAUGAAUCGAUUUUGAACUUCUUCUGUGAUAUGCUUAGUGCUUUGUCAGUAAAAUUACUGUAAUAUCUUAUACCAUCUGUCAUAUUCCCUUCCCCCAACAGGAGCCAUCUCCAGCCACUAAGUUCUCAGGCUGAAUUUCAAUCUUCAGCGUGAUCACUAUGCAAGCCUGCAUUCUGUGGUGCUCUGCUGGCCCCGGCUGGGGACAGGGGCGAGAAGUGGGUAGUGGCCCGGUUUUUAAUUUUCACACUCAGAGAAGAACCAUGAGCCUGAAUGGUUCCUGGGCUGGAGCAUUGAUGAACUGAGGUGGUUCUUUGCAAAUAUCCCUGUCCUUAGAGGCCUAAUAAAAUGUAAGGGGGUAUCA
rnacentral:lncRNA from 13 species